AUUGAAAGCUGGCGGCAGGCUUCAAACAUGCAAGUCGAGCGGAGCGGCGGACGGGUGAGUAAUGCCUAGGAAACUGCCGGGUAGUGGGGGAUAACGCCCGGAAAAGGGUGCUAAUACAGCAUACUAUCAGCUAAGCCGAGGGCGGAUGAGCUAGUUGGUGGGGUAAAGGCCUACCAAGGCGACGAUCCGUAACUGGUCUGAGAGGAUGAUCAGUCACACUGGAACUGAGACACGGUCCAGACUCCUACGGGAGGCAGCAGUGGGGAAUAUUGGACAAUGGGCGAAAGCCUGAUCCAGCCAUGCCGCGUGUGUGAAGAAGGUCUUCGGAUUGUAAAGCACUUUAAGUUGGGAGGCGUUACCAACAGAAUAAGCACCGGCUAACUUCGUGCCAGCCGCCGCGGUAAUAC
rnacentral:rRNA from 1 species